rnacentral:rRNA from 1 species
GACGAACGCUGGCGGCGUGCCUAACACAUGCAAGUCUACGAGAAUUGGGUAGCAAUAUCCAUAGUAAAGUGGCGCAAGGGUGAGUAAUAUGUAAGUAACCUGCCCAUAGGUUUGGAAUAACGUCGAGAAAUCGACGCUAAUACCGUAUAAUGCAGCGGCAUCGCAUGAUGAUGUUGUUAAAGUUUUUACGCCUAUGGAUGGGCUUGCAGCCGAUUAGCUAGUUGGUAAGGUAACUGCUUACCAAGGCUACGAUCGGUAGCUGGUCUGAGAGGAUGAUCAGCCACACUGGAACUGAGACACGGUCCAGACUCCUACGGGUGGCAG